rnacentral:sRNA from 1 species
ACCAGGCGCGGUGGCGCACACCUGUAAUCCCAGCGGCUCAGGAGGCUGAGGCAGGGGGAUCGUGAGUUCAAAGCCAGCCUCAGCAAAAGCGAGGCACUAAGCAACUCAGGGAGACCCUGUCUCUA